rnacentral:lncRNA from 1 species
UUACGUCCAGUCUCCCGAGAGACGCUCUCGAGCUGCAACUAACUCCGUUAAGCUUAAAGGUGCUCAACAAACCAAUUCAACUUGAGAACUCGAGUCACACGAGCCUCAACAACGUUUGCUCGGAGAUACCGCACUCCAAGACUUCAACCGAAGAAGCUGCAACUAACUCUGUUAAGCUUAAAGGUGCUCAAAAAACCAAUACAACUUGAGAACUCGAGUCACACGAUCCUCAACAACGUUUGCUCGGAGAUACCGCACUCCAAGACUUCAACUGAAGGAAUGGAACCUUCCUUCUUACAACAACAAGGGAUUAGACUUCCCUUCAAGUGUAUACAAACACUUAGCACUCAAGAACAGGACUCUCUUAUAGAGUAGAUAUGAGUAGACCUAAGAACGCUCAAGAAUACAACAAUUUCU